rnacentral:miRNA from 9 species
ACCUCAAUCAGUGGGUUGUGAUG